rnacentral:lncRNA from 1 species
CCGUCCGGUAUGAGACAACGUUCACGAUAGGGUUCCCUAUGAACCCGAUCCGUCCACCAUCUCCUAGGAUAUCUAGUGAGGCUAUCAACUUACAUGUUUAUUAGAUCACACCCCUUUCCUGUUUUUUCUUAGUCUCCAUUACUAAAUCAAACACAAUCACAUAAACAAUGAACAUGCAUCUGGUAAUGCAAUCAUAUCUUAAAUCCCAAAUCAAGCAGUGGUCAAGUAAGACAGUAAUACAUGCAUUUAAACCAUAAAAUAGAUAAAUCAGAUACCACCAUGCUUUUAGACUGUAAAAUAAAUCAACAGAGAACAAUAUCUGGUUUGGACUCCAUUAGCAAUCCAUAAUUAAUUAUGCACAUCUAUUAAUUU